rnacentral:rRNA from 1 species
CAGUAGCCGCGGGAAUACGGAGGGUGCAAGCGUUAAUCGGAAUUACUGGGCGUAAAGCGCACGCAGGCGGUCUGACAAGUCAGAUGUGAAAUCCCCGGGCUUAACCUGGGAACUGCAUUUGAAACUGUCAGGCUGGAGUCUUGUAGAGGGGGGUGGAAUUCCAGGUGUAGCGGUGAAAUGCGUAGAGAUCUGGAGGAAUACCGGUGGCGAAGGCGGCCCCCUGGACAAAGACUGACGCUCAGGUGCGAAAGCGUGGGGAGCAAACAGGAUUAGAGACCCCAGUAGUCCCUGUCUCUUAUAC